CUUGCAGGGGCAUUGAAAAGAAAGCUUUCAGAUGCUGAUGUUCCUGUGACAGACUUGUUUUCUACACCGCAAGGGUACAAAUUUUCUUUAAGAUCACAGAGGGAGCUACAUCUGGAACGACGUCUCAAGCUAGAGUGCAAGCGACGGCAUAAAGCGGAAAUCGAGAGAGACCGACUGCGUGAAUCCGUGUCUAAAUUUAUUUCUCCUGACCAAGUUUGUGUGCUGGAGAAGGGCACGAUGCGAGGCAGCUCAUGGUCACCAGAGAUGGUUCAGAAAACUCUACAAUUAAAAUUUGCCUGUGGCAGCAAAGGCUAUGACUUUGUGAAAGAGAAUGUUGUGCCUCUGCCAGCGAAAAGAACACUCCAACAGCAAACGGAACACAUAAAAUUCAGGCCAGGAAUCUUGGAUGAG
rnacentral:lncRNA from 1 species